UACGGGGGGGGCAAGCGUUGUUCGGAAUUACUGGGCGUAAAGGGUUCGUAGGUGGCCUGCUAAGUCAGACGUGAAAUCCCUCAGCUUAACUGGGGAACUGCGUCUGAGACUGGCGGGCUUGAGUGCAGGAGAGGAACGCGGAAUUCCAGGUGUAGCGGUGAAAUGCGUAGAUAUCUGGAGGAACACCGGUGGCGAAGGCGGCGUUCUGGACUGUUACUGACACUGAUGAACGAAAGCGUGGGGAGCAAACAGG
rnacentral:rRNA from 1 species